UACGUAGGGGGCAAGCGUUGUCCGGAUUUAUUGGGCGUAAAGAGCGUGUAGGCGGCUAGAUAGGUCCGUUGUGAAAACUCGAGGCUCAACCUCGAGACGCCGGUGGAAACCAUCAGACUAGAGUCCGGAAGAGGAGAGUGGAAUUCCUGGUGUAGCGGUGAAAUGCGCAGAUAUCAGGAAGAACACCCGUAGCGAAGGCGGCACUCUGGGCCGGAACUGACGCUGAGGAGCGAAAGCGUGGGGAGCAAACAGG
rnacentral:rRNA from 1 species